rnacentral:rRNA from 1 species
GUCCUUUAGGUAAUUAUAAUUUAAGGUCUAACCUGCCCAUUGAUAAGUUAAAAGGCCGCAGUAAUUUGACUGUGCAAAGGUAGCAUAAUCAUUAGUUUUUUAAUUAAAAGCUUGUAUGAAUGGUUGGACGAGAUAAAAUCUGUCUCUUUAUAAAAAAUAGAAUUUAAUUUUUAAGUUAAAAAGCUUAAAUUUAUAUAAAAGACGAGAAGACCCUAUAGAUCUUUAUAUAAUUUUUUUUAAUAUUAAUAAAGAAAAUUUAAUUUUUUAUAAAAAAUUAUAUUUUAUUGGGGUAAUAAAAAGAUUAAUAUAAUUCUUUUUUUUUAUACAAUAAUUAUUGAUUUUAUGAUCCAUUAUUAAUGAUUAUAUGAUUAAGUUACCUUAGGGAUAACAGCGUAAUUUUUUUAAAGAGUUCUUAUCAAUAAAAAAGUUUGCGACCUCGAUGUUGGAUUAAAAGUAAUUCUAGGUGCAGAAGUUUAGAGUUUUGGUCUGUUCGACCAUUAAAUUUUU